AUUUAAGUAGUUUAUAUAAAAUAUUGAUUUGUGAUGUCAAAGAAAUAAUUGUUAUCUUAAAUA
rnacentral:tRNA from 1 species